CCAAGGGCGAAAUUUCCAACGGGGGAAGCAACUGCGGCACCAAUACCGAGACCAAUGCCGACGCCACCUGAGAGAAGAAAGAUUACCUUAUUUAGGUGAUGUUGCUGUUAGCAAUUCGAAUUGGUUUCUUACAGUUCUGUCCCGGGAAGGCUGGUGGUGGUGGCCGAUUUGGAUUUGCGCCAAACUGAAAGUUGCCUCCUGGUCUAAAAGGAGUUUGACCACCAAACUGGGGUCGGCCAAAUGCGCAUCCGAGCAUAGCGACAAC